UUUCCGUAGGUGAACCUGCGGAAGGAUCAUUAUUGUAUAACCGAGGUGCGAGGGCUGUCGCUGACCCGAAAGGUCGUGCACGCCCGAGUGCCCUCACACAUCCAUCUCACCCCUAUGUGCACCACCGCGUGGGUCCCCCUUUGGCUUGUUCGGAGGGGGGCUUACGUUUUCACACAAACUUUGUAUGCAGUGUAGAAUGUAUUUUUUGUUUUUGCGAUCACGUAAUCAAUACAACUUUCAACAACGGAUCUCUUGGCUCUC
rnacentral:misc_RNA from 1 species